UUACUUAGCCAAUUUUAGCCGUAUACAAAAUCAUCGGCUUUUGCACUUACACACUGGCAGGUUGGUUUUUCUGUUUCGUUUAAAAGCAAGUCAUUGAACUACCCAUAUGGUGACCAAAAAUAUUGAAAAAGGAUCUACCGAGCGACUAAGGCUCAGUCGCGGAAGAAGAAAAAGAAGAAGACUUAUUAAAUGAAUCAAGAGAAUCGGCAUAUUUAUACAUCCUUGAGACGAACA
rnacentral:sRNA from 1 species